CUACUGUACUGGCUGGUGAAUGGCUCGGCUCGAGAGCCGACGACGGACGUGCCAAGCUGCGAAAAGCCUGAGGGAGUCGCAU
rnacentral:rRNA from 1 species